CCACUCUCAGGAUUGCAUUUGGAGAGUUUCCAGUACUCUACAAGUCUCAGCUAGGGAAGGGAAAGUCAAGCAGAGGCCUACCUAUUCCACUCUUAGCUUGGGCAGUGGCUAGUGAAUGGAAGACAAUCUGCUACACGU